CUCAAUCAACAUACAAGAAUAAGUUCUAAAUCAAACGGUUAAGCAAAUUGUAUUCACGACUUAUGCAACGAUAAUUGGAAGUAAUCAACUUAUUUCACAUAUAUAAUCAUGGUUUUGAAUGCACCCUUAGCCAAAACGAAAUUAGCCAAUCAUACUUAAAGCAAAACAAAGAUUAAAUGAAUUAGACAUUGAAAUAUAAGAUAGAAUACACCUAAAAUUGUUCAACAACUCAGAAUGAAGAGCGAAACAAUUGAGUGAAACUGUCCUCUUUCCUUGCUUGCGGCAGAUUGGAUGUUGGUGGUUCCUGGGCUGUUUUGAUGAUGUAGAAUGGAUUUUGGGGGGUGUAGAGGCACGGAAAGGGGUGUAGGGUGAGUGUGGAAGAGUGUUUGAUGGUUGGAAGGUGAUGGAGAACUCGGCAAAGAGGGUGGAAGAAGGUGGAGCGGCUGUUGUAUUUUCUGGGCGCUAGAAUGGUGUUUCUGGGGUGUUUUGCUGCCUAGGGUGUGUAUGGACGAAUUUCUGUGAUGAAUGAUGGGAGGUGGUCCUUUCGGCCAAAAGGUUUAAUGAGUAUAUAUAGGCACUUAAAAACCCUAGCAAAUCAGAUUAGGGUUUCUAGAAGCCCAAAUCCAUCAGAAACUAGGUUAAAGCAACAGAUUUUGAAUGGGAAAAGGCCUAGGGUGCGGCUGGAUGGAUAGGGUAAAGGAUGGGCCUUCUAGAAUGCCUUGCAAGGCAAGGCAAAGGGUUUCUAGAAAGGGGAAAGGUGCGGCCCAAGUCUAAGAGGAUGAGGAUAGGUCAUCUAAAAGCCCAAAGCCAAGAAUAGAAACUCUCAAAAAUGGAAACCUCCAAGAAUAGAAACUUCCAACUUUAGAAACUUUGGUUUCCACUUCUGUAUUCUUUGUUCUUCACUUUCAUUUCUUCAUCUCUUAGGCUCCUUUGACCUUCAAACUUGUCCAUUCCUUGUGCUCCAUAUGCAUACACUCCAUUCCAGCUCAAUUUUGCUCUAAAAUGCUCCAAUUUGCAUCAUUUUAUGUAAUAUGCCCUUAAAACUUGAAAACACAUGAAACUAGCUUAAAAGACUACUUUAAACUCAGAAAACAUAAUGAAAAUGCAUAAGAACUAGCUAACUAAGGUGCAUAAAUAUGCUCCUAUCAUGUGUGAAGCUUUUGAGAACUGUGGUUGCCCUCCUUUGAUGAAGCUCUUGUUGGCACCAUAAAUUGGUUUUGCUUCACACUGUCUUGAUCAAGAGUGUGUGAAGUUUUUGAGAAUUUUGGUUGCCCUCCAUUGAUGAAGCUUUUGUUGGCACCAUAAAUUGGUUUUGCUUCACACUGUCUUGAUCAAGAGUGUGUGAAGCUUUUGAGAAUUGUGGUUGAACUCCUUUGAUGAAGCUCUUGUUGGCACCAUCAAUUGGUUUUGCUUCACACCGUCUUGAUUAAGAGUGUGUGAAGGUUUCUACGAGUUGUAGUAUUUGCAUUGUUACAGAGGGGAAAUGUUUGAAGUAGAUGCAAGAGGGCUGAAUAGCUUGAUAUUUGUAUGCCAUGCACUGAAGUUGUUGUUGGCUUGCAAUAAGACUUUGUUGGUGACUAUAACUCUUGUUGGGCAUAAGUGCUCCCCUAGUUGAGUUGUUAAGCAUGAGGGUUUUUGAUUAUUUGUGAAUGCUAGGAGUUCACAUGUACAAGUUGUACCACUCUUCUUCUGGUAGGUGGAAUGAAUGGUGAGUUCCUUCUUCACCUGGUUCGUGGCAUGAGUGGCAAGUUGUGAAAUGAUAUUAGAGUACGGGUUAUACAUUUCAUUACCUGGUUGGUGGCAUGAAGGAAAGUACGAGUGUACAUUUCAUCACCUGGUUGGUGGCAUGAAGAUGAGUUCCUUCUUCACAUUUCAUCACUUGGUUGGUGAGAAUAAGGGUAAGGUGUCGAGGCACAUUGUAGUAAGUGUCAAAUGACAUAAAGUAUGUUGAACCUUUUUGAAGCACAGUUGGCUUAUGUAUAGAUGUGUUAGAAUGUAUGAUGUUUAUGUAUGAAUGUGUUGGAAUGUGUGAUGUUUAUGUUAAUUAAUAUGAGUGAUGCUUAUGAAUAUUUUGCUAUGCAUGAAGGGAUCCAUGCUUUUGAUAUGUGAACCAUGUUGGUUGUAACACUUAGUAUCACAUAUUUUGUGUCAAACUACGCAUGUUGAAGCUUUGAGUUGGAGUAUAAAGAUAGGUCAGCGUAGACCAAUUGUUCUAGUGUUAGGAACGCAAAAGACUCAGAAGAAGUUGUAUGAAUUCCCUUUUCUUUAAAUAUUUGCCGAAUGGCUUAUGUGACAAAAGAUCUCAAGCGGUUGAGAGUCAAAACAUUUGUAAUGUGUAUGCCUUCUUAUAAUAGCAUUUCCUUCAGUACCUAGUCCUUUACUUUGAAAGAGUGAGGCUUGGCCCCAUAGUCAUAAUAGUCAACGGUAAGUUCACCCCUGGUUGUUUUGAUACGAACUUUUAUCCCUCUUGUUGUAAUGGGCUUGCUGAGAGUAAAAAUCCUUCUUCUUACCAAGAGACAGAUACGUUUAGUGACUUAGCGAUUAGCUAAAUAAGGCAGGAGAUGAUGCAAUGGGUGUCUGAAUGGCCAAGAUCUCCUUACUUGGUAGAACUUGACUUCCACUUCCCACUUGUUGAUAGGGGUUAACCAUAUGGGGGUUCCCAUGGUAUGUUUUUGCUUCAGCGGAAGCAUUGUUGUAAGCCUGUACCAUCACCUUAGAGUAAGUCUUCCAAGUGUUGGCAUUGAUCAUAUACUUAAAGAAACAAUCACAUAGGCCUGCCGUGAAGGCCUUGAGGGUGGUCUUGUCAUCUGCCUCAGUGCUGCGAGAAUACUCAUGGCUGAAGCGACCGACAUACUCUCGUAGUGACUCGUCCGACUUAUGGUGAAUAAUGUACAAGUCAUCUGCAGAAUACAAGCGAUCGGUCUGGAAGAUGUGUUGAGAGAUAAACAGUUUCUUCAGUUCCUCAAAUGAGUAUACUAUCUCAGGUGGAAGACGGCAUUACCAGUUUAGAGCUCCGAGAGGGUGGAGGGGAAGAGAAGACAUCACUCUUUGCGGUGUGCAUCCGAUAUGCCAUGGUGGACUCAAAGAGGUUAAGGUGUUCAAUUGGGUUUUUCCUUCCAGUAUAGAGUUGUAAACCAAGCUUUUGUUUUGUCUUCACUUGAAGGGAGGUGUCGAAGAUCCUCCUUGUGAGAGGGCCAGGCCUGCGUUGGUUCCAUUCAGGUAUCUCGGCAUGACGGUCGGCCUUCAACUUGUUUACUUCCUCAAAGAGUUGUAGGACAAGAGGGUCUUGAGUGGAGUCAUGUACCACUGGAAUUUUC
rnacentral:lncRNA from 1 species